GGUUGAUCCUGCCAGUAGUCAUAUGCUUGUCUCAAAGAUUAAGCCAUGCAUGUCUAAGUACAAACCUUUAUAUGGUGAAACCGCGAAUGGCUCAUUAAAUCAGUUACGGUUCAUUGGAUGUUGAGCUAUUACAUGGAUAACUGUGGUAAUUCUAGAGCUAAUACCUGCCGGACUGCCGCGCAAGCGGUGCAUUUAUUAGACCAAGACCAAGGAGGCAGCAAUGUCUCUGUCGGUGGUGACUCUGGAUAACUUUGGCUGACCGCAUGGCCUUGUGCCGGCGGCGUUUCCUUCG
rnacentral:rRNA from 1 species